GGCCAAACGAUCUCAGCCGUCACAAUCCAUCUGCAGCAGCUGACUUUUCCUAUCCUCACUCCCGUAGCUUUCCUCUUCCUCCCACCCCGAUCCCCUCCUCUUUCCCCAACGCUGCUCUCCUGCACUGCUCUACUCAAGCUCCAAUCCUCUCCUACAGUCCACCACCACCGUGCUCUAUAUCUCCCGUCGUGCCGUAGCUUCGCUUCACCGCCGCGCGUCACCCACCCAACCCCUCCGCCUCUCACGCUCAUCUCGACUCCAUCGCCGUUCCCCUUCUGCUCCCGUCGCGUCCCUGCCGUCUCCACCCCGUCCGUGAUCUCGGGCAUCGUUUCUUUCGUGGGAUUGGCUGACGGGAGGAGGGAGAUGAGCCGUGGGAGGUCUCCGGAGCCGCUUGAUUUCUUCAUAUGGACUGUCGAGGACGUCGGCUUGUGGCUUGAAGAGAUAAAUCUUGGUGGCUACAGACAAGUUUUUGAAGAAAAUAGUGUCAAUGGAGAGUAUCUGGAGAGCUUGUCGAUGUUUACUACCGAGCAGAUUCUGCGGUUUAUCAGGCGGUGCCAUAUGAAAUGGGGAGACUUUAUCACAUUGUGCAAAGAGUUGAGGCGCAUUAAAGUUGCCUGCCUGAAAGGGGAGCAAGAAGUCCGGAGGCCAUGGUGGGCACCAUCAUGCCUAUCAGUGGUGUUUGUGAGGGCGGCAAAGCGGAACCGACAGUCCCGAGUUGUCUCUCUUAAGCUGGAACCUUGA
rnacentral:rRNA from 1 species